AAAUAUUUGGGAACAUUUAACCAUCAUCAUCAUCAUCAACAACAAUUUAACAACAACGACAACAAAAACAUUACCAUUUCGGAUUUGUAUAUUGUAUUCUUUUGAUGAUCAUUCAUUUCAUCAUUUUUCUUGUUCAACCCAACCACCAGGACGAUGUCUAAGUAUAAAACGACGAAUUUCAUCAUAGAUAAAUAUUAAUAUUGAAAAUGGUAUCGCUGGUAACCACCAUGUGAAUCUAUAUUAAAUGAUAUAAUCGAAGAAGAACUGGCAUACCCGGACAAUAUGAUAGAAAUGCGGCUAAAACUGUUUCGAAAACUAGGCCAAAAUUUAAA